CCUACGGGAGGCAGCAGUGGGGAAUAUUGGACAAUGGGCGCAAGCCUGAUCCAGCCAUGCCGCGUGAGUGAUGAAGGCCCUAGGGUUGUAAAGCUCUUUUGUGCGGGAAGAUAAUGACGGUACCGCAAAAAUAAGCCCCGGCUAACUUCGUGCCAGCAGCCGCGGUAAU
rnacentral:rRNA from 1 species